GGAGAGUUGGCCGAGCGGUUUAUGGCGCUAGUCUUGAAAACUAGUGGGCGCAAGCCCUCACAGGUUCGAAUCCUGUACUCUCCG
rnacentral:tRNA from 1 species